UAUGGGUCCAAAUUAUCAUAACCUCCACAAAAAGAUAAGCUGGUAUUUAUGUCAAUUUCAGUUUGUGUUAGAGAGGGCAUUAGUUCAAUGGUGCAAUAACCAAGCAAAAAAAUUUAACAAAGAGGCAACGAUCAUCAUCUUUCAACAUGACAAGAACUUAAACCAUCACAAUUAAUCACAUAUUAUUCUGUUCAGGUGAUGCAUAUUUUAUUAAGCAUGGCAUGAUGAAACACACAAACUCAAAAUAAAGAGAAAAUAAAACAAAAAAGUAAAAAAGAAAAUACUAUGCACACCCUACACACAUGCUAAAAUAAAUAAAAAAAGAAAACUCAAACCACACAUCUGUGUUUUUAUUCGUCCCCUCCGGUCUCUAAUCCAGGUCAUCUUGCGGCAGGUCAUAAUGUGGCUCUCGCUGCGACGCGU
rnacentral:lncRNA from 1 species